AAAGCAAGAAGAGACGCGGUUAUUUUUUGCAAUGCUGGAUUUUAAGUAAGGGGGUUUACAAAACCAACAUUUCCGAGCAUAGGUUCAUAUCUGCUCAUCAUGGGCGUGAAUUUACAUCAUUUUCAGGCUUUUGACUUAUUUAUUACCGGUCUGCGUUUUGUUUUGUUUUUUACAGCUACAAAAAAAAAAAUUGUAGCUGUAAAAAACCAGCAACCAACAAACACCUUUCUCCUGAGUCAUAGUCGCUCAUAAAUACUCGUAUUCUUUGAAAAAAUAUAUAUAUUUUAUAUAUUUGUACAAUGCACCAGUGCUACUGGCAGCAAAACCAACCCUCAGCAUGAUACUACCACCAUCAUGCAUGACCUCUGGGUCAGUGUUCCUAUGUUUGAAAGCCUGAAAUUCAUUGUGGCCAAAUAGCUCAAUCUUUGUCUUGUCUGACUAUAAAACGUAUCUCCAGGCAGCAUUUUAGGAAGCAUUGAUGAGGAUGGUCAAGGCUCAAGCUUUCAACCCUGAAAAAGUUCUACAGUUUAUUGAAACGCUGUUCUGCAACACCAGUGAUUCGCAUGAUGCUUCAGAUGUCGUGAAGGGCACUGAGAUAAGCUCAGCAGAGAGGUCAGAUAAGACAGUGCAUCUUACUGUGAGCUAUAAUGCAGUUAUGAGUGUAAUAAGCAGGAUUAAAAGCUUGAAUAGCUAUUUUCAUUAUUCACUAGGUUUUUUUUUGGUUUGUUUUUUACUUUCGCUUAUUUCAUUCUGGUAGCAAUUCAAAAAGCUUCAGAACUAGUUGGAACAAGUGUUUUUGGAAAAACUGCUGCCUUGUAAAAGUUGAGAUUUGUGUCAUGUUUGUGCAGUGCACCAGUGCAUUAGUAAUCAGCAGUCAUAGGCUGAGCAAGAGGAUUGUUUCUGAAGAAAAAAAACAAACAAUGUGGUAAUUCAGUUCCCAUCUUCCCUUUACCACAAGGGUUUGCUCAUAUGGGAAGCUGAAAGUUUCAUUUAACCAAUGAAAUGUUCAUAUUUUAGCAGAGGGUUC